rnacentral:lncRNA from 1 species
CUAACACAGUAAAAACCCAAAUGCCCGACCAGCCACACGCUGCCAUCUUGCAUCUCAGUUGCGGCGCACCAUCUACCUACCUACUAGCUAUUUAGGUACUUACCUACCUACUUACCUACCUGCUGCCUUCACACAUCCAAUCUGGAUAAACGAUGGCAGCCUGAUGCCUUGUGCACAGGCGAAGCUCCCAUUACAACCCCCUGUCCGCCAGAAACACGUAACUAAAUGUAGGCGUCCAUCAGUCGAGGUGUAAGCCCGAGCUGCUAGGGCACAGCGACCACUCGAAAUGCCCAGAGGGGCGUAAAAGCUACCGCAACAAGAAGCGCAACCAGAAGCGCAAGCACCAGCAAAGCCAAAUGCAGGGGGUUGACCCCUUCCCCAAAACUGUCCACGAACAUCUGCGGUACGAACGUGAAUUGCCAUCACGAGCAAGACACAGCCUGCCUGCCCGUCUUUGUAUGGUGUCUACAUAUCUACACCUUCUCCGUACAGUCCCCCCUCCUAUUCCCCUCUAACCCCCAACCAGCAACCGCCUAGACAACAGAAUGGAAGGUAGCCACGGCUCUAGCUACGCGGGCAACACCACAUACAAUAUAAGACGUACUGUACUUCAAAACAGAACAGCGGCGCCGCGUCCGAGAAAGAAAGAAAGAAAAGCAAGCAAGAGCCGUGCGACCGGGACUGAAUACAACAUUUUAACCGAUACAAGGGACGCUUGUGCAACAAAUUCUGAAACAAGUCCAAAGGACGGCGGCAGAAAGGAAAGGCAGAGGGGAUGCAAUCACUGGGGUACUGCUCAAUUGGUCAUUGGUCACCGGACGGGCUGCUGAAGCUGUCCGGGGCUCUCGGAAGGAUUGAGCAGCGGCCUUCUGCCUUCUGGUGAUACGAGCCGGGGAGUCAGGCCCCGGAGGCGCUAGGCGCCUGCGCCAGUAUGUACAAUAGAAUCGAUAUACCAUACUGGACGUCAACCGCCGGGCCGUGAACUCUCUCCCUUCUCGUUUCACACCAACAACCCCACAGUUGGAAAUCUUUCAUCUUCUCGCCUUCUUCGUCCUCCUGCUAUGGCUCAUUCUUUUCUGGCAUAAAAACACGCACACAACACACAGAACGUAUUGAGGUUUAAAGCAGGGCCGUUAAAGCCCAGAGUUACAAAUCCAGCAGCACUGCAGACC